rnacentral:rRNA from 1 species
AGCGGCGGAUGGGUGAGUAACACGUGGGGAACCUGCCCCUAAGUCUGGGAUACCAUUUGGAAACAGGUGCUAAUACCGGAUAAUAAAGCAGAUCGCAUGAUCAGCUUUUGAAAGGCGGCGUAAGCUGUCGCUAAGGGAUGGCCCCGCGGUGCAUUAGCUAGUUGGUAAGGUAACGGCUUACCAAGGCGACGAUGCAUAGCCGAGUUGAGAGACUGAUCGGCCACAUUGGGACUGAGACACGGCCCAAACUCCUACGGGAGGCAGCAGUAGGGAAUCUUCCACAAUGGACGCAAGUCUGAUGGAGCAACGCCGCGUGAGUGAAGAAGGUUUUCGGAUCGUAAAGCUCUGUUGUUGGUGAAGAAAGAUAGAGGUAGUAACUGGCCUUUAGUUGACGGUAAUCAACCAGAAAGUCACGGCUAACUACGUGCCAGCAGCCGCGGUAAUACGUAGGUGGCAAGCGUUGUCCGGAUUUAUUGGGCGUAAAGCGAGCGCAGGCGGAAAAAUAAGUCUAAUGUGAAAGCCCUCGGCUUAACCGAGGAACUGCAUCGGAAACUGUUUUUCUUGAGUGCAGAAGGGGAGAGUGGAACUCCAUGUGUGGCGGUGGAAUGCGUAGAUAUAUGGAAGAACACCAGUGGCGAAGGCGGCUCUCUGGUCUGCAACUGACGCUGAGACUCGAAAGCAUGGGUAGCGAACAGGAUUAGAUACCCUGGUAGUCCAUGCCGUAAACGAUGAGUGCUAAGUGU